ACGGGAGGCAGCAGUGGGGGAUAUUGCACAAUGGGGGAAACCCUGAUGCAGCGACGCCGCGUGAGUGAAGAAGUAUUUCGGUAUGUAAGGCUCUAUCAGCAGGAAAGAAAAUGACGGUACCUGACUAAGAAGCCCCGGCUAACUACGUGCCAGCAGCCGCGGUAAUACGUAGGGGGCAAGCGUUAUCCGGAUUUACUGGGUGUAAAGGGAGCGUAGACGGCUUUGCAAGUCUGAAGUGAAAGCCCGGGGCUCAACCCCGGAACUGCUUUGGAAACUGUAGAGCUAGAGUGCAGGAGAGGUAAGUGGAAUUCCUAGUGUAGCGGUGAAAUGCGUAGAUAUUAGGAGGAACACCAGUGGCGAAGGCGGCUUACUGGACUGUAACUGACGUUGAGGCUCGAAGGCGUGGGGAGCAAACAGGAUUAGAUACCCUGGUA
rnacentral:rRNA from 1 species